UACGGGGGGGGCAAGCGUUGUUCGGAAUUACUGGGCGUAAAGGGCUCGUAGGCGGCCAACUAAGUCGGAUGUGAAAUCCCCAAGCUUAACUUGGGAACUGCAUCCGAUACUGGAUGGCUUGAAUCCGGGAGAGGGAUGCAGAAUUCCAGGUGUAGCGGUGAAAUGCGUAGAUAUCGGGAGGAACGCCAGUGGCGAAGGCGGCGACCUGGGCCAAUACUGACGCUGAGGUGCGAAAGCGUGGGGAGCAAACAGG
rnacentral:rRNA from 1 species